UACGGAGGGUGCAAGCGUUGUCCGGAAUCACUGGGCUUAAAGCGCGUGUAGGCGGGAGGGCACGUCCGUCGCUGAAAUCCCCCGGCUCAACCGGGGAACGGGCGCGGAUACGACCUUCCUGGAGGGGCGUAGGGGGACCUGGAACUUCCGGUGGAGCGGUGAAAUGCGUUGAGAUCGGAAGGAACGCCCGUGGCGAAAGCGAGGUCCUGGACGCCUGCUGACGCUGAGACGCGAAAGCCAGGGGAGCGAACGGG
rnacentral:rRNA from 1 species